CAGGGUCCCCCUUCGAAGAGGAACCAACCGCUCUUCCUCACCUUCAUCAUCGCAUCCUCGCGGGGAGGCGGAAAGUUGGAUCUUCCCCUUCCCGAAAGGUUAUAAUGCAUUUCUACAAAAUGUUUGAACUCACCCCAAAACACAACGGUCCAGACCCGCAGCGGAACAUCACCUUUUCCCCGACACGGGCAGCCAUCCAUGGCGCUUUGGCUGCAGAAGAAAGAUGGGAAAAAAAAAAAAAAAAGACAAACACAGACGACCCCACGGGACCGACCCACCCAGUGCUUUGACAUCAUUUUUGGCGCGAAAAAAAGGUUUCCACCUCAAAAAUCGAACUUACAACCAGCAGUCGUUUCUGUUGGCGACCUUGGGUACCUCGGUGGGGACCCCUGUCACCUUAAAAUCAUCCACCUGGAAGACCCAACGGCCCGGGACGUUGACAUUGG